rnacentral:rRNA from 1 species
CAGGCCUAACACAUGCAAGUCGAACGGCAGCACGGGAGCAAUCCUGGUGGCGAGUGGCGAACGGGUGAGUAAUAUAUCGGAACGUGCCCAGUCGUGGGGGAUAACGCAGCGAAAGCUGUGCUAAUACCGCAUACGAUCUAUGGAUGAAAGCGGGGGAUCGCAAGACCUCGCGCGAUUGGAGCGGCCGAUAUCAGAUUAGCUAGUUGGUGGGGUAAAAGCUUACCAAGGCGACGAUCUGUAGCUGGUCUGAGAGGACGACCAGCCACACUGGAACUGAGACACGGUCCAGACUCCUACGGGAGGCAGCAGUGGGGAAUUUUGGACAAUGGGCGCAAGCCUGAUCCAGCAAUGCCGCGUGCAGGAUGAAGGCCUUCGGGUUGUAAACUGCUUUUGUACGGAGCGAAAAGGCUCUCUCUAAUACAGGGGGCUCAUGACGGUA